UGUCCUGAUGUAGAAGAAGAGAGCAAAUUGGACACCUUGAAAGGUGAAAUCACCUUUAAGAAAGGGGUUCCCGGACUCCCCACCUCCAGGAUGAGCACUGCAGUGUCGUGACCCCGGGGGUUUCGAGUGCCCUGGAGAUGCGAGAUUUUCCUUUGGCAGCAGGAGGCACACACCCAGAGAAUGCGGGAGCUGCAAGGAGAAAGGACCCACUUCCCCAGCAGAGAAAAACAAAGAGGAAAAAGGUGUACAGGUGGUCAGUGCUGAGGGACACGCCAAGCAAGCAGUGGGCCGCUGCUGCUGCUCCCAGCAGCUGCUUCUGCGAUAGCCCGAGAGGAACUCGGUGAGCCCGUCCCUGUUUGUGACUGCAAGCUCAGGAUUUCAAUCAAUGCAUUCCAGUAACCCUAAAGUGAGGAACUCUCCAUCAGGAAACGCACAGAGUAGCCCUAAGUCAAAGCAGGAGGUGAUGGUCCGUCCCCCUACAGU